GACGUAGGGCGCGAGCGUUGUCCGGAUUUAUUGGGCGUAAAGAGCUCGUAGGCGGUCUGUCGCGUCUGCCGUGAAAACCCGAGGCUUAACCUCGGGCUGGCGGUGGAUACGGGCAGACUAGAGGUAGGUAGGGGAGAAUGGAAUUCCCGGUGUAGCGGUGAAAUUCGUAGAUAUUGGGAAGAACACCGGUGGCGAAGGCGGCGCUCUGGACCGAGACUGACGCUGAGGCGCGAAAGCGUGGGGAGCAAACAGGG
rnacentral:rRNA from 1 species